rnacentral:rRNA from 1 species
CCUACGGGAGGCAGCAGUGGGGAAUAUUGCACAAUGGGCGCAAGCCUGAUGCAGCGACGCCGCGUGAGGGAUGACGGCCUUCGGGUUGUAAACCUCUUUCACCAGGGAGGAAGCGUAAGUGACGGUACCUGGAGAAGAAGCCCCGGCU